GCUCAGUUGGUAGAGCACAAGGCUCUUAACCUUGUGGACGUGGGUCCGAGCCCCAU
rnacentral:tRNA from 1 species